AGAGGAGGCCUCAAGCAAGAAGGAAUUUAUCACCCCGUCAACAUCAUCAUCAUCAAGUAUCUUCUAUCAUUCCAGUGUUUUCAAAUCAAUCAGCAACACCAAUUCAACAACAACAACAACAACAUCAAUAUCAAAAUCAACGUCAAUAACAACAACUGCAACAAAGAACAAACACCUACAACAACAACAAUUCCAACAACAAUCAUCACCAGCAACGGAAUUUUGAGAGGAAGAAGGUCUCUUUCGACCCGAUUCCGAUGUCAUAUGCCGAAC
rnacentral:lncRNA from 1 species